UACGAAGGGGGCAAGCGUUGUUCGGAAUUACGUGGGCGUAAAGGGCGCGUAGGCGGCCGAUCAAGUCAGGCGUGAAAUUCCCGGGCUCAACCUGGGGGCUGCGCUUGAUACUGAUUGGCUUGAAUGCGGGAGAGGAUAGUGGAAUUCCCAGUGUAGAGGUGAAAUUCGUAGAUAUUGGGAAGAACACCAGUGGCGAAGGCGGCUCACUGGCCCGGUACUGACGCUGAGGCGCGAAAGCG
rnacentral:rRNA from 1 species